CGCGUAGGCGGAUAGUUUAGUCAGAGGUAAAAGCCCAGGGCUCAACCUUGGAACUGCCUUUGAUACUGGCUAUCUUGAGUACGGGAGAGGUGUGUGGAACUCCGAGUGUAGAGGUGAAAUUCGUAGAUAUUCGGAAGAACACCAGUGGCGAAGGCGACACACUGGCCCGUUACUGACGCUGAGGCGCGAAAGCGUGGGGAGCAAACAGGAUUAGAUACCCUGGUAGUCCACGCCGUAAACGAUGAGUGCUAGUUGUCGGCAUGCAUGCAUGUCGGUGACGCAGCUAACGCAUUAAGCACUCCGCCUGGGGAGUACGGUCGCAAGAUUAAA
rnacentral:rRNA from 1 species